UACGGAGGAGGCAAGCGUUAUCCGGAAUUACUGGGCGUAAAGAGUUGCGUAGGUGGCAAAGUGUGUCAGUAGUGAAAGCGUGUGGCUCAACCAUAUAUACAUUACUGAAACUGCUUAGCUAGAGGACGAGAGAGGUUAUUGGAAUUCCCAGUGUAGGAGUGAAAUCCGUAGAUAUUGGGAGGAACACCGAUGGCGUAGGCAGAUAACUGGCUCGUUCCUGACACUAAGGCACGAAAGCGUGGGUAGCAAACGGG
rnacentral:rRNA from 1 species